CUUUUGCUGAAGGGGUCAGAGUUGGGGCUGAGGCUUUUGGUGCUGGAGGUCUGGAAUUCAAUACCUGCUAAUCCCCUUGGUGUCUGCGUAUUUGUGUGUGUGAGUAUAAUUCAGGACAGUAGCACGUACCUGCUAGGAAGAGAGAGAGAUAUGUGUUGGUGUUUCCUCAUAGUCAAAAACUGUAAGUUUGGAGCAUUCGGGAAGCUUUAUACUAAGAUGUGUGAUCUGUGGGAGAUGAUUCCUGAAGCAACUGGGAAUACCUGAGCUCAGAGAGACACAACACCUAAUUAAUGCAUUCAGUGAACCAAAGCCACCCUUGGUGUAAUUGGUGCCCUUGGGAUUAAUUAGACCAACUCUUUCUUACUUUGUUAUUAACUGAUGCAAUUUCUACCAGAGUUACAGAAUAUGAGGUUUGGGGUAUAUUUCAUCCUGCUGUUUUCAGUGCAAACUGGGUACUGCAUAGAGCUGACCCACAAAGGGUUUUUUUUUCUGGAGACCAAAAUCUUUUUGCUAAAAACUUAAUAUUUCGACUCGGAAAUACCACGGAUGUGCCUCUGAUACCACACAGCACCAAUCUCUUCCAUGGGCCAGGCUCCCAGUCUAUACUACAUCCCCCAUGAUGCAUGAUGGUCUCUCCUCUUGCUGAACUGCCCUGGAACAUCACCAGAGUCCCACAGCCAUGGUUUAGGGAGGAGAGGUGUUUGGUAUUUUGAUGGAAAGCUUAUAAUUUCCGGGGAAAAGAUAAUUUCUU